rnacentral:tRNA from 1 species
AAGAUACUAGUAAAAUCAUUACAUAACUUUGCCAUAGUUAAAUUAUAAGUUUAACCCUUAUGUAUCUUA